CCGCGCUGUGUCGUCCAGCGUCUUACGUGCGUCGGCCAGCUCCGUCUCGAAGAGCUCCUUCAAACCGCUGAUCUCGCGGCCGCAUACCUGCUCCCGCUCGGAAACGCGCCGCUGCAGCGCGCUGUUCUCCGUCUCCAGGCUGCGCACCUUAUCGAUGUAGACAGCCAGCCGGUCGUUCAGCUGCUGCAGUUCCUCCUUUUCCUGCAGCCUCGAGAUGCGCGUGGGGCUCAGUGCCGCGCUGGCCGCAGCGCCCCGGGGCUGCGGCGACAGUGGUGCGACGGCCGCCGCCAUGGAGCGCGGGAUGUUGGGCAGAGGCUGCGAGAGAGCCGGGCGGGAGGAGAGCACUAAGCGAUGGGAGACAGAGAACAGGCGGCCGUGUGCGGAAGCCAAGAGGCUCUUAGCGUACAGCAGCAGGCACAACCGAUGCGGCGCGCUCGGGAGCCCCCUACAAUAUGGCCGGCUCCACUUCUCUGCUCCCCCCCCCCCCAUCCCCUACCAUCACGUCACGUGGCUAGCUCUCAGCCAAUAACGUGCUGAGAAUGGCCGCGCGCCUCGGGCUUUGUAGGCGGAGGCACGAUUCGAAUCCCGCCGCCGCCGACAUAUAGAUGAGCCCGCGCGCCAGCGAGGUCCCGCCCCACUCACUGCGUUGACGUUCGCUGUGCUCUGCAUCGUGCCAUCCUUUGUUGUGGAGCUGAGGGAAGGAAUCCCCUUGCUGCUCCGCUACCCGCCUGUUUGCUUUUCCCGAUAGCGGGGAAGCUGCGAGCUGCAAUUGGAGAACACUCGAGCCAACACCUAGUCUUAGCUGCCUCCUUGCAUUGUAGUAGCUGAAAUGUGGUGAAUUGGAUUCAGCUCAGUCCAAGUGUUAGCAUUUGCAUUUGGAUGUUCCGUAUCUGGGAUUUGUCUGACUGUCAAAGUUAUGGCGCUUGAAAUAAAGCAUAUUGUUUUUGCCGAAG
rnacentral:lncRNA from 1 species